GAAUCUUAGACAAUGGGGGAAACCCUGAUCUAGCCAUGCCGCGUGAUCGAUGAAGGCCUUAGGGUUGUAAAGAUCUUUCAGCUGGGAAGAUAAUGACGGUACCAGCAGAAGAAGCCCCGGCUAACUCCGUGCCAGCAGCCGCGGUAAUACGGAGGGGGCUAGCGUUAUUCGGAUUUACUGGGCGUAAAGCGCACGUAGGCGGAUCAGAAAGUUAGGGGUGAAAUCCCGGGGCUCAACCUCGGAACUGCCUCUAAAACUCCUGGUCUUGAGGUCGAGAGAGGUGAGUGGAAUUCCGAGUGUAGAGGUGAAAUGCGUAGAUAUGCGGAGGAACACCGAUGGCGAAGGCAACCCCCUGGGCCUGUACUGACGCUCAUGCACGAAAGCGUGGGGAGCAAACA
rnacentral:rRNA from 1 species